UAACCCACGACCACAUCAAGUCAAUGAGGUAAGUGCCAUAACCGAACUUCAAAAUCAAAUGGCUAACCUUACUACUUUGCUUUCUCAGGUAGUGGAAGGUCCAAAAGUGCAAAACGUGGUAGCUUGUGGCGUGUGUUCCAUGCAAGGCCACCUUACGGACAAGUGCCCACAGUUGAUAGAAAAUGGAGGGUGGGAGACCCUCAAUGCCGUGGGAUUUGACAACCAAUACCAACCAAGGAAUGACCCCUUUUCCAAUACUUACAAUCCCGGUUGGCGUGAUCAUCCAAAUUUCAAAUGGCGAGAACCCCAACAAGGCCAACAACAAAGCGGAUUUAGGCAACAACCCCCGGGUUUCUAUCAAAAGCCGUUUGCACCAACUCAACCCCAAGCACAACCUGCCCAAAAAUCAGGAUCGUCUAUUGAUAAUGAUCAAAUUUUUAAUUUACUAAUUUCUAUGGCGCAGGGAAUGCAAAAUAGGGACAAAAAGGUGGACGAGUUGGAGAAACAAGUAGGGCAAAUUGCCGAGUUUGUUGGGCAGUUUAGAGAACAAGGCAAGCUUCCUAGUUCAACCAUUGCGAAUCCAAAAGGAGGCUUUGAAACCGUCAAUGCAAUCAUGUUGAGAAGUGGUACACAGGUUGGAGCCAAACCAAAAUCAUCCAAAUCAAGUCACGAUGAGGAUGAAAAGUUGCUACAAGAGGAAGCACAGGGACCAAAACUCACGGCCAAGGAUGAACAAUCCUUACCACCACCAUCUAGCCCUCCUAAGCCGUCCCAAACCACCAAGGUAAGUCCAAAUUCGACUUUUUCUAGUUCCAUUCCACUAAAUGUACCCUUUCCUGGCAGGUUUAGGCAAUCAAAGAAGGAAGAAGCCGAGAAGGACAUUCUAGAGACCUUUCGGAAAGUUCAAGUCAAUAUUCCGCUCCUUGAUGCAAUUAAGCAAGUCCCGAGGUAUGCUCAGUUUUUAAAAGAACUUUGUACAUCAAGGAGAAGGAUUUCGAACAAAGAGGUGGUCCAAGUAAGUGAGAAUGUUUCUGCCAUGUUACAAAGGAAAUUACCCCCUAAAUGCAAAGAUCCGGGUAGUUUUUACAAUUCCGUGCGUUAUUGGCAAGACUAAGUUUGAACAAUGCAUGUUAGACUUAGGGGCUUCGAUUAAUGUUAUGCCAUACUCUAUUUAUGCAUCUAUGAACUUAGGUGAGCUUAAAAACGAUGGUGUGAUUAUUCAAUUAGCCGAUCGUUCUAAUGCAUAUCCAAAGGGUGUUUUGGAAGAUGUGUUGGUGCAGGUGGGCAAUUUGAUUUUUCCAGCGGACUUUUACGUGCUUGACAUGGAGGAUUCACCCUAUUCUACCCCAUUGCCGAUACUAUUAGGGCGGCCCUUCAUGAAAGACAGCCCAAACCAAGAUUGAUGUGGCUAAGGGAGAGUUAACAAUGGAGUUUUGGUGAUGAAUUGAUUAAAUUCAAAGUUCCUGAAUAUGUUAAGAAUCCUCAUGAUGUUCGUUCUUGUUUUGCAAUAGAUGUGAUUAAACAUGUGGGGAAGGAACAUUCAUGCGCACCAAUCAAGAAGGAUGUCCCUAGAUGCAUCAUCGAAGAGGGUAUUGGAGUGGAGCAUACAAAACAUGUCAUUACACCCAAAAUACCAAAUCUGGCCGAGAGCACCACCUUUGCUGCCCCUUUUGAGUCUUCAUCUACAUGCAUUGGUAAGCCUCCUCCUCUAAUUCCAAUUCCCAUUUCCACUAAUAGGUUAUUGCCUUCUGUGGUGCAGGUACCAAAUCGAAUCCAUGAUUAUGGGAGUUUUUACUUUGACCUUGGGAAGCUUAAUGCCACAAUCUGGGACCAUCAUUAUCCACUGCCAUACAUAGACCCAAUGCAUGAGUAUUUCACGGAGCAUGUCAUGGAGGAUGUACCCCUCCAUGCCGUGGCACCUAGUCAAGCUUAAACGGAGGUACCGUCCGGCUGGAAGACGUUAAAGAAAGCGCUUCGUGGGAGGCAACCCAUGCAUUCGACAAAGGAAGGCCUAGAGAGCACUCCAAUUCCAGAUUUGCGUUCCUAAACCCUUCUCUUUGUUGUUGAAUUAGUUUCUGCCAUAUUUAGUUUGUUAGUGUUUGUUUGUUUGUUUAUGUGUUUUUGUGUUAGUUAUGCUUUGAAACAUUGAGGACAAUGUUUGGUUUAAGUGUGGGGGGGGGGUAACCAAAGUGUUUUGAUGCAAAUUCGUAGGGUUUUCUCACUCAUACUUCCCUAUGUUGUUUCUUGCUGUUUUUAGAUGUUUUUAGGCUGUUUUGGUGAGUUUUUAGUGUGUGCUGACUUUAUAACUCCGAAAAUCACAUAAAAAUUUUGAAAAAUUGCUUUGCAAAAACCCAAAAAGAGUUGUUUUUUGUGUGUUUGUUUGUGUCUUAGGGUACCUUCCAACACAAUGAUGAGGAUUUGGUUUGUAAUUUCAUGGCUGUUAAAGAGAGUGAUUAACAUGGAUGAAAGUUUGAUUUAUUCUUUGUUUAUGCUUGGUUGUGGUUAUAACUUAUGAAUUUACAUGCAAUCUUAAAGGAAAAAUUAGUUUUUGUAACAUGCUUGAAGGAAAGGAACUCAAACUAACGCUACAACCUUGUGAGACUUGAGCCUAAACGUUUAUUUGGAGAGUUAAUAAUCUGUGAUUUAUUGUUUUCUAAGUCGUUGCAUGAUCUCAUUAUUCUUUGCUUGGUUACUACUUAGAAGGCGUUUCAUCAUUUAGUUCCAAAUGCUCUAACUCAUACCCAUUUCAUUCAAAGCAUGUCAUUGAUUUGCAUAACACACAUAUUCAAGAUAAAGUUGUGUAGUGACCACCACCAUAACCAAAAAGCCGUGAAUCCCCUAUGUCAUUAUGUUUUGUACGUUUUAAUUCCCCGUUGAGCUUUGUGAGCCUUUUCUUUGUAAACCCACAUUACCCUCACCUAGCCUAGAUUUGGACCAUCCAUUAACCUUGUUCUUAAAGCGUAGUAAAGCAUGAUUUUCAAAUUGAAUUCCUUUUGUGGCAGAAAACAAGUGUGGGGGAAGUGUUUUUCAUAAGGAAUUAUGUGCCAUAGGCACGGGUAAAAAGAAAGAAAAAAGAAAAGAAAAAUGUGAAAAAGAAUGCGAAAAGAGUUGAAAAGAAGUGAAAAAGAGUUCUAAAGUGUUGUUUGAUGAAGAAGGGGUCCAAAACAAUGAAUUCGACCCUAAGGAGUUGUUUAAAUCUUCCCCUUGUGUUUUAAAACUAAUUUCUGCAAUCUAAGUAAAUUCUAAGUCUCAAUUUCAUUACUUUGCUUACUAUCACUUUAAGAACGUUUGUUUUCCUUAUCCUUUCUUUGUUAGCCAAUACCCCAAGCCCCGUUACAACCCUUGACUUCUAUCUUGAGUGUUAUGUGUUUCAAUUUGUGGAGAUUGAACUUGGUAUGAGCAUAUGGUGUCACUGGUUCUCGCAUCUAAGUAGUAGCAUUCCAUUCAUGAGAUCAUAUCUCAACAUGCUUAUUAACUCUAGAAAUUGUGUUCUUUGUGAGCAUUCGUUUUUAUAUCUACAUCAAUUCUCUCACAUAUAACUAGUAUAGGGUGUGUAGUUAGAAAAUCUGAGUGAAAAUAGAGUGUGUAUCUUGUAAGGAUUGAGGGAAUUCUCUAAGGCAUGUUACUACAUUCAAAACAUUGUUUUAAUUGGUUAAUUGUGAAUUAGUAAGUAGUGACUAUGAUUAAGUAUGUGCUUAAGUGUUAAAUUGACUCAAUUCUGUGGGAAUGAUAAUCUUUAACAUGUCAUGUGCAUUGGAAAUCCCUAAGGCAAACGUUGGAAGGUUUAGGUUGUUUUUGUUUGUUUGGUUUGGUUUUGUUUUUCUUUUGUUUCUUUGUUUUGCUCGAGGACUAGCAAAAGCUAAGUGUGGGGGAAUUUGAUAGGAGCAUUUAUAUGCGACUUAGUUAACUAGUUUUCUUGCAUUUACGUUAUUAGUUCUUAGUUAUUUUAGUACUUUAAGCCAUUUUCGUGUGUUUGUAGGUCCAAAGGGCUAAGGUAGCAAGAAAGUGCAUUUUGGUGCAUUUUGGAGUAGUUUUGAGCUUGGAAUGGAUUACAUAUGAUAUGAGCAAGAUGGAUGGACGAAUUUGAAGACAAAAGAGGCUAAGAACAUGCUAAAAAUCUGGUGAAACAAAUACAAGUUGCAAGAAGGGAUAAAUUUCUAAAAGGAUUGGCCAAAACUUCACUCAAAACACAUCAAUGCCGUGACUUUUACUUCCACCUCCACCAGAAAUUUGAGUAAUGAUGCAAUGCUUAAAUCACCAUGACAUGUGAGUGGAUG
rnacentral:lncRNA from 1 species